rnacentral:rRNA from 1 species
UACGGAGGGUGCAAACGUUGCUCGGAAUCAUUGGGCGUAAAGCGCACGUAGGCGGCCUGUUAAGUCGGGUGUGAAAGCCCUGGGCUCAACCCAGGAAGUGCACUCGAAACUGGCAGGCUUGAAUCCGGGAGAGGGAUGCGGAAUUCCAGGUGUAGCGGUGAAAUGCGUAGAUAUCUGGAGGAACACCGGUGGCGAAGGCG